rnacentral:rRNA from 16 species
UAAAGAGUGCGUAAUAGCUCACUGAUCGAGUAAACCUGCACCGAAAAUGUACGGGACUAAGUAAUUUGCCGAAACUGUGCGAUAUAUAAAAUGAUAGUAUAUCGGUAGGGGAGCGUUCUGUUGUAGGUUGAAGUAUUAGCGUAAGCGGGUAUGGACGAAACAGAAGUGAGAAUGUCGGCUUGAGUAACGAAAAUAUAGGUGAGAAUCCUAUACCCCGGAAACCUAAGGUUUCCUCCGGAAGGCUCGUCCGCGGAGGGUAAGUCAGGGCCUAAGGCGAGGCUGAAAAGCGUAGUCGAUGGACAA